UGGCCUCACUGUGGAAAGUAUGGUGGU
rnacentral:piRNA from 1 species